AUUGAACGCUGGCGGAAUGCUUUACACAUGCAAGUCGAACGGCAGCACGGGUGCUUGCACCUGGUGGCGAGUGGCGAACGGGUGAGUAAUGCACCGGAACGUAUCCAAUAAUGGGGGAUAACGCACCGAAAGGUGUGCUAAUACCGCAUACGCCCUGAGGGGGAAAGCGGGGGAUCGUAAGACCUCGCGUUAAUGGAGCGGCCGAUGCCGGAUUAGCUAGUUGGUGAGGUAAAGGCUCACCAAGGCGACGAUCCGUAGCUGGUCUGAGAGGACGACCAGCCACACUGGAACUGAGACACGGUCCAGACUCCUACGGGAGGCAGCAGUGGGAAUUUUGGACAAUGGGCGCAAGCCUGAUCCAGCCAUUCCGCGUGAGUGAAGAAGGCC
rnacentral:rRNA from 1 species